GGAAAACCGACAAGAUGUGAAUGAGAAUUACAGCAUUAAGCUGGAAAAUCUAUGGAUAAAAAGGUAAGAUAUUGUAAGGCAGUUCUAGUAUCACACAACCUAUUAAAAACUAUUAUCAUCCACUAAUUCGUCAAUGCUUGUGAGUGUCACCAAACUUAUUGCCAGUGGGAGAAACGCUGAGCCAAUGAAGCACAGACUACGAUAAACAUUCAAAAAAGAAACACCUUUGGAUUCUGCUUCAGCAAUUCAAGCGUACCCGGAGGGCAAUCGCGCCAUUCUGUGAACUGCACUCAAACAGAAACCCCAAUAUUGUGAAGG